rnacentral:rRNA from 1 species
UACGUAGGGAGCAAGCGUUGUCCGGAAUCAUUGGGCGUAAAGCGCGUGUAGGCGGCUUGGUAAGUCUGCUCUGAAAGCCCGGGGCUCAACCCCGGGAGGCGGGUGGAUACUGCUGAGCUCGAGUCCGGAAGAGGCGAGUGGAAUUCCUGGUGUAGCAGUGAAAUGCGUAGAUAUCAGGAGGAACACCGAUGGCGAAGGCAGGUCUCUGGGCUGACACUGACGCUCAUGCACGAAAGCGUGGGGAGCAAACAGG